rnacentral:rRNA from 2 species
CGUUGACCUCGGAUCAGGUAGGAAUACCCGCUGAACUUAAGCAUAUCAAUAAGCGGAGGAAAAGAAACCAACAGGGAUUGCCUCAGUAACGGCGAGUGAAGCGGCAACAGCUCAAAUUUGAAAUCUGGCCCCAGGCCCGAGUUGUAAUUUGCAGAGGAUGCUUUUGGCGCGGUGCCUUCCGAGUUCCCUGGAACGGGACGCCAUAGAGGGUGAGAGCCCCGUCUGGUUGGACACCAAGCCUCUGUAAAGCUCCUUCGACGAGUCGAGUAGUUUGGGAAUGCUGCUCAAAAUGGGAGGUAUAUGUCUUCUAAAGCUAAAUACCGGCCAGAGACCGAUAGCGCACAAGUAGAGUGAUCGAAAGAUGAAAAGCACUUUGGAAAGAGAGUUAAACAGCACGUGAAAUUGUUAAAAGGGAAGCGUUUAUGACCAGACUUGGGCCGGUUAAUCAUCCAGCGUUCUCGCUGGUGCACUUUGCCGGUCCAGGCCAGCAUCAGUUCGCUGCGGGGGAUAAAGGCGUCGGGAAUGUGGCUCCUCGGAGUGUUAUAGCCCUUCGCGCAAUACCCUGCGGUGGACUGAGGUUCGCGCUCUGCAAGGAUGCUGGCGUAAUGGUCAUCAACGACCCGUCUUGAAACACGGACCAAGGAGUCGUCUUCGUAUGCGAGUGUUCGGGUGUAAAACCCCUACGCGUAAUGAAAGUGAACGCAGGUGAGAGCUUCGGCGCAUCAUCGACCGAUCCUGAUGUUCUCGGAUGGAUUUGAGUAAGAGCAUACGGGGCCGGACCCGAAAGAAGGUGAACUAUGCCUGUAUAGGGUGAAGCCAGAGGAAACUCUGGUGGAGGCUCGCAGCGGUUCUGACGUGCAAAUCGAUCG